GCCAGAGAGAUCUGGCUUUCCCUUCGGGGACUAGGACACAGGUGCUGCAUGGCUGUCGUCAGCUCGUGUUGUGAAAUGUUGGGUUAAGUCCCGCAACGGGCGCAACCCUUAUCCUUUGUUGCCAGCGGUUCGGCCGGGAACUCAAAGGAGACUGCCAGUGAUAAACUGGAGGAAGGUGGGGAUGACGUCAAGUCAUCAUGGCCCUUACGAGUAGGGCUACACACGUGCUACAAUGGCAUAUACAAAGAGAAGCGACCUCGCGAGAGCAAGCGGACCUCAUAAAGUAUGUCGUAGUCCGGAUUGGAGUCUGCAACUCGACUCCAUGAAGUCGGAAUCGCUAGUAAUCGUAGAUCAGAAUGCUACGGUGAAUACGUUCCCGGGCCUUGUACACACCGCCCGUCACGCCAUGGGAGUGGGUUGCAAAAGAAGUAGGUAGCUUAACCUUCGGGAGGGCGCUUACCACUUUGUGAUUCAUGACUGGGGUGAAGUCGUAACAAGGUAACCGUAGGGGAACCUGCGGCUGGAUCACCUCCUUA
rnacentral:rRNA from 1 species